AGCGAACGCUGGCGGCAGGCUUAUCACAUGCAAGUCGAACGGGCAUCUUCGGAUGUCAGCGGCAGACGGGUGAGUAACACGUGGGAACGUACCCUUCGGUUCGGAACAACUCUGGGAAACUGGAGCUAAUACCGGAUACGCCCUUAUGGGGAAAGGUUUACUGCCGAAGGAUCGGCCCGCGUCUGAUUAGCUAGUUGGUGGGGUAACGGCCUACCAAGGCGACGAUCAGUAGCUGGUCUGAGAGGAUGAUCAGCCACACUGGGACUGAGACACGGCCCAGACUCCUACGGGAGGCAGCAGUGGGGAAUAUUGGACAAUGGGCGCAAGCCUGAUCCAGCCAUGCCGCGUGAGUGAUGAAGGCCUUAGGGUUGUAAAGCCCUUUUGUCCGGGACGAUAAUGACGGUACCGGAAGAAUAAGCCCCGGCUAACUUCGUG
rnacentral:rRNA from 1 species